GGAAGUAAAAGUCGUAUCAAGGUUUCCGUAGGUGAACCUGCGGAAGGAUCAUUAACAAAUCAUGCGCUGGCCCUUGGGCCGCGUACAUUCACCCAGAGCCCCGUGUAUGCGGGGUUCUUGUGGUUCGGGUUGUGUGUGCUGUGUGCGUAUGUAUACGCAGCGCGCACACGCACACCCCAAAACAUAGACGCUUGCAUGUUUGACUGUAUCAUUGGCAACAAAAUGGACAACUUUUAACAAUGGAUCUCUUGGCUCUU
rnacentral:misc_RNA from 1 species